rnacentral:rRNA from 1 species
CCGUAGCCUGGUAGCGGGGGGUAACUAAUUGGAAACGAUAGCUAAUACCGCAUAAUAUUAAUUAUUGCAUGAUAAUUGAUUGAAAGAUGCAACUGCAUCACUACCAGAUGGACCUGCGUUGUAUUAGCUAGUAGGUGAGGUAACGGCUCACCUAGGCGACGAUACAUAGCCGACCUGAGAGGGUGAUCGGCCACACUGGGACUGAGACACGGCCCAG